UCUUAGUUCUAGUCAAAUACCAUAUAGCUUAGAUCUUUCUUGUAGUGUUCAAGUGUUUUUCUAAACUAGCUACCUAGAGAAGAUUUGGUGGAGUUUUACUUCUAAGGAUUUUUGGAAGUGGAGCAGAAUACUACACUAAGGAGAAUCUUGAUGCAGGGAUAGAAAGUGAGGACGAUGGUCCUUUUACUGGUUUUGAUGGUUGAUAGACCAUCUGCUGCAGGAUUUAUGCUUACUCUAUGGAGCAAGUCUCAUUUAUGUUAAUCGCUUUUAUUAUGUAUGGUGA